rnacentral:rRNA from 1 species
AUGUUAGCGGCGGACGGGUGAGUAACACGUGGGUAACCUGCCUGUAAGACUGGGAUAACUCCGGGAAACCGGGGCUAAUACCGGAUGCUUGAUUGAACCGCAUGGUUCAAUUAUAAAAGGUGGCUUUUAGCUACCACUUACAGAUGGACCCGCGGCGCAUUAGCUAGUUGGUGAGGUAACGGCUCACCAAGGCGACGAUGCGUAGCCGACCUGAGAGGGUGAUCGGCCACACUGGGACUGAGACACGGCCCAGACUCCUACGGGAGGCAGCAGUAGGGAAUCUUCCGCAAUGGACGAAAGUCUGACGGAGCAACGCCGCGUGAGUGAUGAAGGUUUUCGGAUCGUAAAACUCUGUUGUUAGGGAAGAACAAGUACCGUUCGAAUAGGGCGGUACCUUGACGGUACCUAACCAGAAAGCCACGGCUAACUACGUGCCAGCAGCCGCGGUAAUACGUAGGUGGCAAGCGUUGUCCGGAAUUAUUGGGCGUAAAGCGCGCGCAGGCGGUUUCUUAAGUCUGAUGUGAAAGCCCCCGGCUCAACCGGGGAGGGUCAUUGGAAACUGGGGGAACUUGAGUGCAGAAGAGGAGAGUGGAAUUCCACGUGUAGCGGUGAAAUGCGUAGAGAUGUGGGAAGAACACCACUGGGCGCAAGCGCACACCCUGGGGCUGUAACUGGACACCUGAAAGCGCGCAAAGCGCUGUGGGAGACGCAACACGGAGUAAGAUAACCCUGGGGAGUACCACCACCCCUAAAACAAAUGAAGUGCCG